GGAGUUAGCCGGUGCUUCUUCUGCGAGUAACGUCACAGAUGUAAGGUAUUAACUUACACCCUUUCCUCCUCGCUGAAAGUGCUUUACAACCCGAAGGCCUUCUUCACACACGCGGCAUGGCUGCAUCAGGGUUUCCCCCAUUGUGCAAUAUUCCCCACUGCUGCCUCCCGUAGGAGUCUGGGCCGUGUCUCAGUCCCAGUGUGGCUGAUCAUCCUCUCAGACCAGCUAGGGAUCGUCGCCUAGGUGAGCCUUUACCUCACCUACUAGCUAAUCCCACCUGGGCUUAUCCAUCAGCGCAAGGCCCGAAGGUCCCCUGCUUUCCCCCGUAGGGCCGUAUGCGGUAUUAGCAGUCGUUUCCAACUGUUAUCCCCCACAAAUGGGCAAAUUCCCAGGCAUUACUCACCCGUCCGCCGCUCGUCAUCUUCAAAAGCAAGCUUUUGAAUGUUACCGCUCGACUUGCAUGUGUUAGGCCUGCCGCCAGCGUUCAAUCUGAACCAGAUCAAAUUCUGA
rnacentral:rRNA from 1 species